UUCAAUGUCCGUGACACUUCUCCAAUUGACUAUCCAGUUUCCACUCUCGACCUCCACUCCAGUCUCUCCCAACGCGGAGCAUCGGUCUCGAAAUCUUACAAAAUCAAUGACCGCCAACAACUGAGAGGUGACGAAGCAGUGACCAAGCGAGUGGCGACCAACCGAGAGGAACACUUGAGACCAUGCGACGACAACCAGGAGUACGAAUGAUUGACCGACAGAGCCCAAGAGACGAAUCGAGAGGACGAACGACCGACCGACCUACUACGAUGAGAGACAAUGUCUGACUGAGAAUCGAGUAGAAAUUGGUGCCAUUGCAAAAUUGCCUGCAGACAAAGCAGCGAGUCAGCAACUCGACAGGAUGCUGAAGGAGUGGUGAGUUCAUGGAGUGGCGGCUUUUAUAGCUACAUCUGCCAGGUUCAACUAGAAUGUUCCAAGUCUGAUGUAAAAUGCUGGCUACGCCUUUACCAACUUUGUUUUUCAUCUUCUUUGGAUUUAUUUGGUCUUUGAAUCCCAUGUUUUAAAUUGAGAUUUUGAUUAUGUCUUCUCUAAGCAUCUUUGAACAUCAAGGAACAAGCUCUAUCUUCUUUGCCGUUCCCUGUAAUACCUCAACUCACUUUCACAAACCCAGAAGGACAGAGAAUGGUAGUUUCCCUACAAUAUCCGGUGGUGUACAUUUCCCCAAAAACCUUCGUUAGACCACAAUUGACACGUGUCAGUCACUAGAUAUUUUUCUCCCUCCCUAUACCCCCACACACAUGACAACAUUGAGAAAAAAAUCGAUUCGUCGUUUUUAAAGCCAUCAAAGAAAGCCGAGAAAGCUCGGAUAAAUCAGAGGCUGCUACUGUCGCGGAGUCUGAAACGGCUGGUGAGUCAAGUGUGGAGGUGAGCGAGCAAGGAUCGGAGAUAGAAAAGGUUUAGCAGGAGAGGAAAGAGGAGAAAGCGAGAGAUUUGUUGCGUGGAGUUUCGGAGGAGAUGAGACAGAAAGAGCGGCUAGCGUUCGGAAAAGUAUUGGGGAUGAUAGGUGUCGUGCUAGGAGUGAUUGUCAGGUCGAGUGUCGUUUUGCUGAGUUAUCUGAUUGGGCUUUUGCUAA